AUUGUUUCUCGGCCUUUAGCUAAGAUCAAGUGUAGUAUCUGUUUUGAUCAGUUUAAUAUCUGAUACAUCCUCUAUUCGAAGACAAUAUAUUAAAUGGAUUUUUGGAACAGGGAAUUGGAAUAGGAGCUUGCUCCAUCCUCUCCACGCAUCAACCUGGUAUUGCAGUACCUCCAGGAAUCAUGGCCACAUA